GUGCUCAAUUUGGUAACACAUAUGCUAAAACCAAAACGAUACAGAGAUUAGCAUGGCCGAUGGCAUGCAAAUUCACGAAGCAUUCCAUAUUUUG
rnacentral:snRNA from 1 species